CAAUAUCGGUACCAUAAAUACCACCCAUUAAAGGCUCUAUUAAAUUCUCAAGUACCUCAUUACCUAAUCUUGCUCUGAAAAAUGCACCAACAGAAAUGUCACCAUUCUGCAUUUGAGUAGGUUUUUUAAGUAAA
rnacentral:sRNA from 1 species